CAAAACAAACAACUCGUGGGGAGUUAACCCUAUAGUGACCAACACUUGUGUGGGUUAUAUUAGGUUUGUGGGUGUAUUUUAAUUUUACUGUUAUUGUGUUCAGAAAACAUCACAAUCAGUUUGUUUGACGCUGUACGACCAAGUGAUGUUAACAAUGCAACUGGAACUAAAAGAGCCUUUUGCUUUUGGAGAUGGUGCAACAUUGAACAUGAUUGCAGAAACAAGCGGAAGAGCUGAAGAACAAGGUGGCUGAGAAUGACCAGGGCAACAAAGGACUUAACUGUCUCUUAAAAAACAACUGUCCGAGCUAUUGGAGCAGUUGCAAGUGGUCCUCCAGCAGUACAAGACUGCUUUAGGUCUUGAGGCCUUUGCCCAUCUGCACAUUGAGGAGGAGGAUAAAAGUGCCCUCAGCAGUCCAGAGAGCAGUGAAGAUGAAGAAGAUAUCACAAUUUAGGAAAUAUUGAUGCUGCAUGAUGGACUGGACUCUGUGCUGCCAGACCCAAUCACAUACCCAUGUACACAUAAAAACACAAUAGAAAGCACACAAUAAGAAUUACAAAAAACACAG